UUUAGGUUAAGUCUUUUGAGAAGGAAAGGCAAACAGAGAAGCGUGUGCUGGAGUCCGAUCUUGUGGACCACGUUUUACAGAAACUGAGAACUAAAGUCAGUGAUGAAAGGAAUAUCAGAGACGCUUCCGAUAAUCUUGCAGUACAAAAUCAGAAGGGGUCAUUUUCUAAUGCUUCAGGUAUAAUUACUAAUUAUAAUCUGAACAUAACUGAUUGUGUUACAAACUGCUGUUUGCUCAAGACACUAAUGACUGUGGCUGUCUCCUUGUGACACUGGAAAUAGCUUUUUAAAGUAACUUGUAAACAACAAAUUGUACUAUAUGAAACCCUUGACUGGGAUUUAGGUGACUUCUGAUCUUGGUCUUACUAUCUUAUUUUUAUCUAAUCUUCUUUGACUCAGUUUACUAUCUAGAUGAAAUACGGAAUAAUUUUUCCACAAACUUUCCCCAUAUAGAGGACUGAAGAAAAGUAUUUGAACCCAGGUGUGUGGUCCACACUCAUAAUCCCAGCACUCGGGAAGCUGAGGCAAGAGGAUUGUGAGUUUGAGGCUAGCCUGGACUAUGUAGUGAGACCCUGUCUCAAAAAAUAAAAAUAAAAAUGAGUAAUAAUAAGAAAACAGGCCAAGAAAUGAUCUAGCUCUUAGAAUCAGACAAGCUAUCAUGAUUAGUAACUACUAAUAAACUGCUAUCUCUUGGUGGUAUGUUCUAGAAACUAGCACAGUAAGGCCAUAAAUUCUGAAACUUCCUUCUCAGGUUUGUUUGAAAUCCAUGGAGCAACAGUUGUUCCCAUUGUGAGUGUGAUAGCCCCAGAGAAGCUGUCAGCCAGCACGAGGAGGCGAUAUGAGACUCAGGUACAAACCCGACUUCAGACUACACUUGCCAAUUUGCAUCAGAAAAGCAGUGAAAUUGAAAUUCUGGCUGUAAGUCACUUUCUUUAACAUUUUGAAGAUAGCUUUUUCCAGUGUCUGGUUUGACUUGUGUUCAGGCUUUUUUGCUGUCAGCAAUAUUUGGUGCAGACCUGGUUGUUUCUGAUAUGAAUGAACCACAUACAAUCUAAACCUGGGGAGAAAACAGAAGGUUGUUUUUCUUUUUUCUUCUCUGAAAGGAGGGUGGGGGAAUAAAAACCAAAAUCAUUUUUCUGCAAGUUUCAAGUCUUUCCUUACUGAACCUAUACAAAGAACGUGUAGUAGUGCAGCCCCCACUGCUUGUUAGCUCACCCAUGCUGAUUUUAUCGCACCAUUCAUGAAGUCUGCUUUAUAGCAAAGUAGCAUGCUGCCAGCCCUGUUCAUACUGUCCAUCUAGACAAAUCUAUAGCCCCAGGUCAAUAUGUGCUGCUUUGAGUUCUGCAAUAGAUGUACAUUUCUGUGUGUUAACAGGUGGAUCUACCCAAAGAAACAAUCUUACAGUUUUUAUCACUAGAGGUAAGCACUAUGAACUGUUCUGCACCGUGGCUUUGCUGUUCAUUUGCCAAAGAAAAACAAGAAGUAUUAAGUUUUCUGAGAAAUACUACUGAUCUGGCAGACCACGAAUUUAGUAACUUUGGUCUUUUAUGUAUUCUUUGUAUUCUAAAAUCAAGGUUACCUAGCUAGCAAGUAGCAGAGCCAGGAUUGGAACUUACAGACUAGCAGGAUCUAUGUUCUAGAUUUAUUACAUCAAAGUUGAACAAAAGUAAUUUAUCACUUAGACAUCAGGUUUCACAUGGUUAAAAUGCAGGAAGGAAGGCCCAAGUAAAAAUGUUUUCUUUCUGGCUGAAGUUUGAUGGCAAAUAGCAAUAUCUGCUAUCUCUCACAUAAACCUUCACCUCAGCUAGGGAAGUUCAUUUGUGUAUUGGAACUAUAUACACCUUUUGUUAAAAAAUAAAAUUAAUUUCAUCCUUUUUUGUAUGGUUUUUAACAGGUACAUACUUUUAGCAUCAAAUAGCCUAAAUAAGAACUUUUAAAAUUUUGAAGUUUCCUUUGCUAGUAAGAAUACUUAAUUGUAGCUUCAGGUUAUUUUCUGCAACACUGCAUAUCAAAGAAUACUUUUUUGUCUAUCCAGGCGUUCAGUCACAGAUUAAGUUAGAUUAAAAGUGAACUGGCGGGCAAGGUGGUGCACGCCAGUAACCCCAGCACUCGGGAGGUGGAGGCGGAAGGAUCACUUUGUUCACGGCCAGUCUGGGCUGCAUAGCAAGACCCUGUCUCAAAAAAACAGUUUGCCCCAGAACUAUUACUCCAUAUUCCAUUUUCUGUUGCUCUUACUGGCAGUCUACUUUUUUGUGAUCCAUUUUGCACACAGUAAUAAACAGGCAGAAAUAACCCAUCCAAAGCCAUAUUAGCACAUGGUCAGGCAUUAGCAACCAGGGCUGUGCCACAGUUGAUCAGGCUCUAAUUAGGUACAUGUAGUCUUGGCUUACAGAUUGAUGCUUCAAAGGAGGAACCCCAGCAGUCUCCCACCAGCUCUACCAUCUCCCCAUCAUGGUUGUGAUUCUGAUGAUAUACCUGAAGCGGAGAAUGGAACUGGCAUUUCAUUAGUGACUCAGAAAAAGGCCAGGCAAACUCUACUGUCCUGUUAAGUCUUAUCUACUUUUUUCUAGUGGAUGCUGAUGAACAGGCAUUUAACACAACUGUGAAGCAGCUGCUGUCACGCCUACCAAAGCAAAGAUACCUCAACUAGUUUGUGAUGAAAUUUAUAAACAUCAAAGUUGAAAAAAAGUAAGUUAUCACUCAGGCAUAGCAGGCUUUACAUGGCUAAAAUUCAGAGGAUAAGCCAGACUGAGAAAGACAUGUCACGUUUUCAAAUGCAGAAUCUAGACCAAAAAAGAGUGACAUGAGUAUAAAAUGGAGGACUAAUUUGGGAGGGAACCAGGGAAAGGAGGAAGGAGGAGGGUGAAAGGAGAGGGUGAUGGGGGCAAUUAUUUUCAAAG